UGUGGGAGCGGGCUUGCUCGCGAUAGCGGUGGGUCAGUUGAUAACUACUUGACUGACCCACCGCUAUCGCGAGCAAGCCCGCUCCCACA
rnacentral:misc_RNA from 1 species